UACGUAGGGUCCGAGCGUUAAGCGGAAUUACUGGGCGGAAAGAGUGCGCAGGCGGUCUUGUAAGCCAGAUGGGAAAGCCCCGGGCUCAACCUGGGAACUGCAUUUGGGACUGCAAGGCUGGAGUACGGCAGAGGGAGGUGGAAUUCCACGUGUAGCAGUGAAAUGCGUAGAGAUGUGGAGGAACACCGAUGGCGAAGGCAGCCUCCUGGGCUAGUACUGACGCUCAUGCACGAAAGCGUGGGGAGCAAACAGG
rnacentral:rRNA from 1 species